CACUUCCUCCUCCGUCACGUCAUCUUCUGGGUGACAACUGGAGUCACUCCAGAGACAAAGCCCUGCCGCCUAUCCCUGGGCAUCUAUCAUCCAUCAUGGAGCUGAGCAGAAUGAGAUUGGUCCUAAUCAGUUACUGUGGCUACGAUGAAACGGUGUGGUCAUAAAAAGAAACUUGGGG
rnacentral:lncRNA from 14 species